rnacentral:snRNA from 1 species
AUACUUACCUGGCAGGGGAGAUACCAUGAUCAAGAAGGUGGUUCACCCAUGGCGAGGCCCGGCCAUUGCACUCCAGCAGGGCUGACCUAUGCGAAUUCCCUAAAUGUGGGAAUCUCGACUGCAAAAUUUGUGGUAGUGGGGGACUGCGUUCGUGCUUUUUUAUU